CACGUAGGGCGCGAGCGUUGUUCGGAAUUACUGGGCGUAAAGCGCACGUAGGCGGAUACUUAAGUCAGGGGUGAAAUCCCGGGGCUCAACCCCGGAACUGCCUUUGAUACUGGGUAUCUCGAGUCCGGAAGAGGUGAGUGGAAUUCCGAGUGUAGAGGUGAAAUUCGUAGAUAUUCGGAGGAACACCAGUGGCGAAGGCGGCUCACUGGUCCGGUACUGACGCUGAGGUGCGAAAGCGUGGGGAGCAAACAGG
rnacentral:rRNA from 1 species